rnacentral:rRNA from 1 species
UACGGAGGGAGCUAGCGUUGUUCGGAAUUACUGGGCGUAAAGCGCGUGUAGGCGGCUUUGUAAGUUAGAGGUGAAAGCCCGGGGCUCAACCCCGGAACUGCCCUUAAGACUGCAUCGCUUGAAUCCGGGAGAGGUGAGUGGAAUUCCGAGUGUAGAGGUGAAAUUCGUAGAUAUUCGGAAGAACACCAGUGGCGAAGGCGGCUCACUGGACCGGCAUUGACGCUGAGGUGCGAAAGCGUGGGGAGCAAACAGG